rfam:Dipodomys ordii contig_12996, whole genome shotgun sequence.
GGUAGCUUAGUGGUAGAGUGCUUGCCUAGCAUGCAUGAAGCCCUGGGUUCGAUUCCUCAGUACCA